rnacentral:rRNA from 1 species
UACGUAGGGUGCAAGCGUUGUCCGGAAUUAUUGGGCGUAAAGAGCUCGUAGGCGGUUUGUCGCGUCUGCUGUGAAAACUCACAACUCAAUUGUGGGCGUGCGGGCGAUACGGGCAGACUGGAGUACUGCAGGGGAGACUGGAAUUCCUGGUGUAGCGGUGGAAUGCGCAGAUAUCUGGAGGAACACCGGUGGCGAAUGGGGCAUCCUGGAGCAAGACUGACGCUGAGGAGCGAGAGGCAGGGGAGCAAACGGG